CCGGUGCUGCUGGCUCCACUCCCUUUCCAGACUUUUGUGUGGGCUGGUUUCAAGGGUAGGUCCAGGGAAAUGAAGUCGCACCUACCUUUGGUUCCUGCUCCACCCAAAGUUUAAAAUCAACUGGCUGGCAGCGGCAGCAGCAUUUCUGGUCAGGCUGCAGUGUUAACUCAGGUGUGGAAAUAUUAGCUCAGGUGUAGAAACAAUUUUCAGUCAGGCAUGGGAUGCGGUGUCAGGAUGCUCCAGGGGGCUAGAUUGUUCUUUAUAAAUCUUAAAAAUGAGAUGUACAUUUAAUUCUAAUAACUACAGGACUAAUGAAACAGCAUCUUUUGAUUAUUGUUUGCCUAGUUUGUUGUGCUUUUCAUACAGAAUAUAUGAUGUAGCGAGGUAAUGCACAUUCCAAUACAGUUAGAUUUGCUUUUGC